CUGAUAUUGUGUAGGAUUCAAGGUCUGCAUGAAUUCUCCAACAUUUCCCUGUGUUUGAUCUAAAAUAGAUAUAGAAACUUGAUUAGCAACAACAUAAUUUGAUUGAUUGUUACCAUUUGAUUGGCUGCUAAUGCAGAUUUCUGCUUAAUCUUAUAUCCAGGAGGAUAACUGUGCAAUUUCUAGCACUUGUCCACAGCAUGGCCUGCGUAACCACAAUAUGUGCAAUAGGUCUUUCCUCCUUUUGAAAUUAUUAUGCAACUAUCCUACAUUGGUUUUUUUGAGAUCAUUUUUGGUGUAGAAAGCCAUGGAAUCAGCAAAACCAGAACGAGAAACAUAGGCAUCGAUAUUAACAUUCCUUUGAUGUUCUUCUUGAGAGACAAGAUAGAAAACAUUGUUUAUUGGAGGCACAGGAUCCAUUCAAAAUAACUGCCCCUGACUUGGGAAAAUGAAUCAUUUAACCAGAAAUGACAUAACAUACUCCAUGUGAUAGUGUUCGGCAAGUUUUUUGGUUCCUCCACAGUUUCACCAUCCACGAGCAUAUAGGCCUGUAAUUACUUAGUUCUUCCAAGAUCAUCUUCAAUUUGGUGAAAUAUGUCCUAACAAAGCAUUGUCCUUUUGUGUGAUUCAAUAAUGCAU
rnacentral:lncRNA from 1 species